UCAACCCUCAAGCACAGCUUGGUAUUGAGCCCAUGUCAGCGAUGGCAGGCUCCAAAGUCAGUGGCGGCGCCGCUGGGUCCUGAACGUAGUAAUACCUCUCGUUACAGGCGCUCGGCGUGCUUCUGCCAAAACCCCAACUUUCU
rnacentral:misc_RNA from 1 species